rnacentral:rRNA from 1 species
GAUGAACGCUGGCGGCGUGCCUAAUACAUGCAAGUCGAGCGAACGGACGAGAAGCUUGCUUCUCUGAUGUUAGCGGCGGACGGGUGAGUAACACGUGGAUAACCUACCUAUAAGACUGGGAUAACUUCGGGAAACCGGAGCUAAUACCGGAUAAUAUUUUGAACCGCAUGGUUCAAAAGUGAAAGACGGUCUUGCUGUCACUUAUAGAUGGAUCCGCGCUGCAUUAGCUAGUUGGUAAGGUAACGGCUUACCAAGGCAACGAUGCGUAGCCGACCUGAGAGGGUGAUCGGCCACACUGGAACGCAGACACGGUCCAGACUACUAAGGGAGGCAGCAGUAGGGAAUCUUCCGCAAUGGGCGAAAGCCUGACGGAGCAACGCCGCGUGAGUGAUGAAGGUCUUCGGAUCGUAAAACUCUGUUAUUAGGGAAGAACAUAUGUGUAAGUAACUGUGCACAUCUUGACGGUACCUAAUCAGAAAGCCACGGCUAACUACGUG